GGAGGUUUUUGGAUUUAUUCCGAGUGGGGACUGCUGUGCUUCAAAGAAAAAGAAUCGGCUUUCCCUAGAAAUUUUUCCAGGACUAUGUCAUUUUUCACAACCUCUUGAAGGGGUUUAGAAUGUUGAAAUAAACAAAAAUAAUAAAUACAACUUUCAGCAGCGGAAAUCUUGCCUCUCAUUCGAUGAAGAACGCAGGAAAACGCAAUAAGUAAGGUGAAGUGCAGAAUUCAGCGAAUCAUCCAAUCUUUGAACGCUUCUUGCGCUCCUUGGUUUUCCGAGGAGCAUGCAUGAUUAAGCGUCAUUUAAACUCUAAGCCACAUCAUUCAUUUCACUGUUUUUGGGGGGGGGGGAGCCCCCCCCCUCCUCGAGAGGCCUGCUCCACUGAAAAAGCAUUAUUGGCAUCAGGAGUGGAAAACCGCUAGGUGUAAUAAUACUGUCUAUGCCUGUGGUUAUGCCCCUAUAGCUGCUUACCACCGCACAUUUUUGACAAACUUGACUCAAAUCGGUAGACUACCCGCUAAACUUAGCAUACUAAGUAGAAUAAAAAAAAG
rnacentral:misc_RNA from 1 species